rnacentral:rRNA from 1 species
AUUGAUUUUAUGCUUGCAUAAAUGAUUUUUGGAUUCGGAGCAAGUGGCGAACUGGUGAGUAACACGUGGGUAACCUGCCCCGAAGCGGGGGAUAACAUUUGGAAACAAAUGCUAAUACCGCAUAAUUAGUUGGAACCGCAUGGUUCCAACUUGAAAGAUGGCUCUGCUAUCACUUUGGGAUGGACCCGCGCCGUAUUAGUUAGUUGGUGAGAUAAAAGCCCACCAAGACGAUGAUACGUAGCCGACCUGAGAGGGUAAUCGGCCACAUUGGGACUGAGACACGGCCCAGACUCCUACGGGAGGCAGCAGUAGGGAAUCUUCCACAAUGGACGGAAGUCUGAUGGAGCAACGCCGCGUGAGUGAUGAAGGGUUUCGGCUCGUAAAACUCUGUUGUUAAAGAAGAACAAGUGUUAGAGUAACUGUUAACACUUUGACGGUAUUUAACCAGAAAGCCACGGCUAACUACGUGCCAGCAGCCGCGGUAAUACGUAGGUGGCAAGCGUUGUCCGGAUUUAUUGGGCGUAAAGCGAGCGCAGGCGGUUUUGUAAGUCUGCUGUGAAAGCCCUCAGCUCAACUGAGGAAGUGCAGUGGAAACUACAAAACUUGAGUACAGAAGAGGAAAGUGGAACUCCAUGUGUAGCGGUGAAAUGCGUAGAUAUAUGGAAGAACACCAGUGGCGGAGGCGGCUUUCUGGUCUGUUACUGACGCUGAGGCUCGAAAGCAUGGGUAGCGAACAGGAUUAGAUACCCUGGUAGUCCAUGCCGUAAACGAUGAAUACUAGGUGUUGGAGGGUUUCCGCCCUUCAGUGCCGCAGCUAACGCAUUAAGUAUUCCGCCUGGGGAGUACGACCGCAAGGUUGAAACUCAAAGGAAUUGACGGGGGCCCGCACAAGUGGUGGAGCAUGUGGUUUAAUUCGAUGCUACGCGAAGAACCUUACCAGCUCUUGACAUCUUCUGCCAACCCAAGAGAUUGGGCGUUCCCUUCGGGGACAGAAUGACAGGUGGUGCAUGGUUGUCGUCAGCUCGUGUCGUGAGAUGUUGGGUUAAGUCCCGCAACGAGCGCAACCCUUAUUAUUAGUUGCCAGCAUUUAGUUGGGCACUCUAGUGAGACUGCCGGUGAUAAA